AUGUGUGUCUGUGUGUGUCAUUGGGUGUCUGUGUGUGUGUCUGUGUGUGUCUGUGUGUGUGUCUGUGUGUAUCUUUGUGUGUCUGUGUGUGUGUCUGUGUGUGUCUUUGUGUGUCUGUGUAUGUGUGUCUGUGUGUGUCUUUGUGUGUCUGUGUGUGUGUCUGUGUGUGUCUUUGUGUCUGUGUAUAUCUUUGUGUGUCUGUGUGUGUGUCUGUGUGUGUCUGUGUGUCUGUGUGUGUCUUUGUGUGUCUGUGUGUGUGUCUGUGUGUGUGUCUGUGUGUGUCUUUGUGUGUCUGUGUGUGUCUGUGUGUGUCUGUGUGUGUGUCUGUGUGUCUGUGUGUGUGUCUGUGUGUGUCUUUGUGUGUCUGUGUGUGUCUGUGUGUGUCUUUGUGUGUCUGUGUUUUGUCUGUGUGUGGUGUGUCUGUGUGUGUCUUUGUGUGUCUGUGUGUGUCUUUGUGUGUCUGUGUGUGUCUGUGUGUGUGUGUCUGUGUGUGUCUUUGUGUGUCUGUGUGUGUCUUUGUGUGUCUGUGUGUGUGUCUUUGUGUGUCUGUGUGUGUGUCUGUGUGUGUCUGUUGUGUGUCUGUGUGUGUGUCUUGUGUGUCUGUGUGUGUCUUUGUGUGUCUGUGUGUGUCUGUGUGUGUCUGUGUGUGUCUGUGUGUCUUUGUGUGUCGUGUGUGUGUCUGUGUGUGUCUGUGUGUGUUGUCUGUGUGUGUCUGUGUGUGUCUGUGUGUGUCUGUGUGUGUCUGUGUGUAAUUUGUUGUGUCUGUGUGGUGUGUCUGUGUGUGUCUUUGUGUGUCUGUGUGUGUCUUUGUGUGGUCCUGUGUGUGUGUCUUUGUGUGUCUGUGUGUGUGUCUGUGUGUGUCUUUGUGUGUCUGUGUGUGUGUCCUUUGUGUGUCUGUGUGUGUCUGUGUGUGUCUUUGUGUGUCUGGUGUGUCUUGGGUGUCUGUGUGGUGUGUCUUUGUGUGUCUGUGUGUGUGUCUUUGUGUGUCUGGUGUGUGUCUGGUGGUGUGUGUGUGUCUGUGUGUGUCUUUGUGUGUCUGUGUGUGUGUCUGUGUGUCUUUGUGUGUCUGUGUGUGUGUCUUUGUGUGUCUGUGUGUGUGUCUGUGUGUGGUCUGUGUGUGUCUGUGUGUGUCUGUGUGUGUCUGUGUGUCUUUGUGUGUGUCUGUGUGUAUCUUUGUGUGUGUCUGUGUGUGUCUGUGUGUCUGUGUGUGUCUGUGUGUGUCUGUGUGUGUGUCUGUGUGUGUCUGUGUGUGUGUCUGUGUGUGUCUGUGUGUGUCUGUGUGUGUGUCUGUGUGUAUUUGUGUGUCUGUGUGUGUGUGUCUGUGUGUGUCUUUGUGUGUCUGUGUGUGUCUUUGUGUGUCUGUGUGUGUGUCUUUGUGUGUCUGUGUGUGUGUCUGUGUGUGUCUUUGUGUGUCUGUGUGUGUGUCUGUGUGUGUCUUUGUGUGUCUGUGUGUGUGUCUGUGUGUGUCUUUGUGUGUCUGUGUGUGUGUCUGUGUGUGUCUUUGUGUGUCUGUGUGUGUGUCUGUGUGUGUCUUUGUGUGUCUGUGUGUGUGUCUGUGUGUGUCUGUGUGUGUCUGUGUGUGUGUGUGUGUGUGUGUGUGGUGUCUGUGUGUAUUUGUGUGUCUGUGUGUGUCUGUGUGUGUGUCUGUGUGUAUUUGUGUGUCUGUGUGUGUCUUUGUGUGUCUGUGUGUGUCUGUGUGUGUCUUUGUGUGUCUGUGUGUGUCUGUGUGUGUGUGUCUGGUGUGUGUCUUUGUGUGUCUGUGUGUGUGUCUUUGUGUGUCUUUGUGUGUCUGUGUGUGUCUUUGUGUGUCUGUGUGUGUGUCUUUGUGUGUCUGUGUGUGUGUCUGUGUGUGUGUGUCUGUGUGUGUCUUUGUGUGUCUGUGUGUGUGUCUUUGUGUGUCUGUGUGUGUGUCUGUGUGUGUCUUUGUGUGUCUGUGUGUGUGUCUUUGUGUGUCUGUGUGUGUCUGUGUGUGUGUCUUUGUGUGUCUGUAUGUGUGUCUGUGUGUGUCUUUGUGUGUCUGUGUGUGUGUGUCUGUGUGUGUCUUUGUGUGUCUGUGUGUGUGUCUUUGUGUGUCUGUGUGUGUGUCUGUGUGUUCUUUGUGUGUCUGUGUGUGUGUCUUUGUGUGUCUGUGUGUGUGUCUGUGUGUGUGUCUGUGUGUGUCUUUGUGUGUGUCUGUGUGUAUCUUUGUGUGUCUGUGUGUGUGUCUGUGUGUGUCUUUGUGUGUCUGUGUAUGUGUGUCUGUGUGUGUCUUUGUGUGUGUUGUGUGUGUGUCUUUGUGUGUGUCUGUGUAUAUCUUUGUGUUCUGUGUGUGUGUCUGUGUGUGUCUGUGUGUCUGUGUGUGUCUGUGUGUGUCUUUGUUUGUCUGUGUGUGUGUGGUGGUGUGUGUCUGUGUGUGUCUGUGUGUGUCUGUGUGUGUCUUGUGUGUCCUUUGUGUGUGUCUGUGUGUAUCUUGUGUGUGUCUGUGUGUGUGUCUGUGUGUCUGUGUGUGUCUGUGUGUGUCUGUGUGUGUGUCUGUGUGUGUGUCUGUGUGUGUCUGUGUGUGUCUGUGUGUGUCUUUGUGUGUCUGUGUUGUGUGUUCUUUGUGUGUCUGUGUGUGUCUGUGUGUGUCUUUGUGUGUCUGUGUGUGUCUGUGUGUGUCUGUGUGUGUCUGUGUGUGUGUCUGUGUGUGUCUUGUGUGUCUGUGUGUGUGUGUCUGUGUUGUGUCUUUGUGUGUCUGUGUGUGUGUCUUGUGUGUCUGUGUGUGUCUGUGUGUGUGUCUUUGUGUGUCUGUGUGUGUGUCUGUGUGUGUGUCUGUGUGUGUCUGUGUGUGUGUCUGUGUGUGUCUUUGUGUGUCUGUGUGUGUGUCUGUGUGUGUCUUUGUGUGUCUGUGUAUGUGUGUCUGUGUGUGUCUUUGUGUGUCUGUGUGUGUCUGUGUGUGUCUUUGUGUGUGUCUGUGUAUAUCUUUGUGUGUUUGUGUGUAUGUCUCUGUGUGUCUGUGUGUCUGUGUGUGUCUGUGUGUGUCUUUGUGUGUCUGUGUGUGUGUCUGUGUGUGUCUUUGUGUGUCUGUGUGUGUCUGUGUGUCUUUGUGUGUGUCUGUGUGUAUCUUUGUGUGUGUCUGUGUGUGUCUGUGUGUCUGUGUGUGUCUGUGUGUGUCUGUGUGUGUGUCUGUGUGUGUCUGUGUGA
rnacentral:lncRNA from 1 species